rnacentral:lncRNA from 1 species
GUAAGCCCAGAGUGAUGUGUGGGUGCUGGAGGGAGAAGGGGCAUUCAGCCUUCCUGGAAGAAGUGAAAUCUAAGCUGAGAAUUGACAGAGAAGGAGAGUGAGAGGAUAGGAGAAAGGGGAAUCAAAGUGGCUUCUCUGGAUACAGGAGGCUGAGGAUCAGAGUGCGAGGGGCAAUUGAUGAGGCCAGAGAGACGGGCGAGAACCAUGACACCGUGAGUCUCAGAAGCCAUGCUCAAGAGUCUGGGUUUUACCUGAGGGCAGUGCGGAGCCAUGGAAGGUUGUAGGCCAGGGAGUGACUGGGUCAGCUCUGCAUGAGAAAGACUACUCUGGCUGGGGGACAGAGAAGCAGGAGGCUGUCACAAUAAUCCAGGGGAAAGCCAGUGACAGUGGGAGCGGCUCCUAACAAGAGAUGUUCAGAUGGUAAACUUGACAGUUGUUAGAGAUUGGAUGUGGGGGCAGAAAGAGAAAGCAGGCUUCUGGUCGGGCUCCUGAGUGAUCUUGGGGCCAAGGCAGGGACCCACACGAGGCAGGUUCGUGGAGGACAAGUGCUUUCUGAGCCACGAGAAUUGUCUGUGUGCACAAAGGCAGCACACUGUGCUUCAGAAGACCGAGAGGGAUGCUGGGGCUGGAGGUCAGCUCUCAAAUACUUGAAGCCAUAGCCAUGGAUGGGCUCCUCCAGGGAACCCACGACAGAACCCUGAGAAACCGCACUGUGCAUGGGGUGAGUGGAGGAGCCAGCACAGGACCUGCCGGGAACUGCAGAGUGUUAAGGAAGCGCCAGCAAGGAACUGGGCGCCAUCAGCCUGCCAGAUGCUGCAGAGAUCCAGCAAGAGGAGAUAUGAAGAGGGGCUGCAUUUAGCACAAGGCCACUGGCACACCACUGGGGAGAGAAAUAAAGACACGGACAGCAAGGCCAGCUGCUGGCCCAGCAGCCAGGAGGACCCCAGCCCGCCAGUGUCCUCUACCUUGUCCAUCCUUAUCUGCACAGGACAGAAGAGCUGGCAAUCUCAGUGCCACCGAGACAGGGCCAAAAGGUGCUUCUCCUCCCAGGGAAAGGGGAAGGCUGGUGUUUUUAAGAGACUAGGAGUGCAAAAGCCAAGGAAAUGAAGGGCUAUGGUGGGACCCGAGGCAGGUGGUAAAGAUUUCCAAGCACAGAGAUUUUUCCAGUGGUUUAAAGGUACCACAUGUGUGCAGUCCAUCUCUGCACCUGCCAGCCUUGCUGUGAGGUAUAGGACGUGGCCAGUAAUGGCUCUUGUGGGGAGUUCAUUCCCAUAUAGACUGCUGAGUACUUGCAAGGCACUGUAGUUGGAGUACAAGGUCAACCAAUGCUGGUCCGUGCCCAGGACUGGCCUGCCUUCUUAGAAGACGGAGGUCACCUCCCCAGGAGCCAGGAGCACUCAGAAGAGGGCUGGCCCAUGUGUGCUCUUAGAGUGACAAACAGCUUCUCCCACCAGUCCCAUUUCUUACAAAACAAGCUGUAGCCCAGGCUGUCUGAAAGCCUAUUUUUAAUCCUGUUUCUCCUUGAGCCUGAGACAGAACUCAGCCAGAAACCACUCUUCUCUAGGGGAAGACUUAUAAAUAGGAUAUUGUAGAUUCUCCUCUGAAAAUCUAACCCAGUCCCACCCUGUCCCCUCUCUGUCCCCAGCCUGCCAGUCACAGAGCCUCGGGGGAAGAAAAGAUAGAAGAAGGGGGGCCCAACACUCCCCACCCCCUGAGCAGGCAGCUCCUCAUCUCUGCCUCCUUCCACUAAGGGCCACAGGAACAGUCCCUUGAAGGGCAAGACUCAAACCCAGAAAAGGAGUCCCUGGCGCAGAAAAGUCUGUCCAAGGUGGAAGGUCAGCAGGCAGAAAGGAAGAUGAACUUUCAGGGUAUUAAGGCAAACAGUGCCACCUAGAAUCUUUAUUCAAAUGGGAAUCAGCACUUGGGCAGAAAUCACAGUUCAACAGCAAAAACUUUCUCUUGCAAGGGCCAAGCUGUGGCCCCUCCCCACGGCCAUCUGCCCAGAGAACCCAGCACUGUCUGCUCUCCAGCGUCAUGGCCCCGGCCCUGCAUGCCCUGGCCAAGCCGGAACUCCCAGUCCAGGAAGGGGCAGGAGGGCCACUGGAGCUCAGCUUCUGCACCCACAGGUGGACUCGGCCUCCUGCAAAGCAGGCACCACACCUUCCCUCCCCCGGCGCCCUCUGAGGUCUCGGCCUCUGGCGGCAUCAUAUCUGUGCCAAGCUGAGCCUCCCCAGGAGGGUGGGGUCAGGGGCUUCUGGGGGUGUCGAGGGAAGGGGGGCCAGGGUUGGGGGGACGUGCCUUCCGGCUCCCGGCCGCCACCUAGUGCAGAGGCCCGGGGGCCUGACCCUCCUGAUCCCGCCCAGCAUCCCCUCCCCAGGGGGUCAGUAUAUCUUCUGCCGACUGGGUAGAAUGGCCUCUUUGAUGAAGGAGAAGACAACCAGGAUCCCUAAGCGCUUGCCCCGCUUGCCUUUGGUGAAGUAAUUGGAGACCACAUCAUCUGUGGAGACACGGGCAGGGAGAUGAGAGUGUGUCUGAACAGGAACAUGGCUCUGCCACGCAGAGUCCAAGCACCUCCCUCACAGGGCGGGGCUCUGGCCACUCAGGCCUUGCUGGCGUCCUCCCACCCGGACCCCUCAUGAACCCCUUCUCACCUCCUGGCUGCAUGGUGGAGGGCAGGACGUUCUCCCCAGCCGACAGGGACACAAAGAAGGCAAACGGGAUUAUCCACAGACAGAAAGUGAAAUAGGCCAGGACCUGGCAACAGAGACACUGAGAAGAGGGUGCCCCCGGAGGUGCCAAGGGUGGGCCGGGAGUGGCUGCCGCACAGCUCGGGUUCAGGCGUGCACCAAGGACCCACACUGGAUGUCUGGAGGGACCCAGGGCCCAGGAAGCAGAGACAGGCCAUCCCCAGAUAGGGAGAAAACCCAGGAAAGGGGGAGGCCAAAGAUGACCACAAUCCCCAAAUCUCAGUCACCAGGACAAGCAACUCCUCAGACCAGAAGGAGGCGGAUCCGGAGGGCCAAACCUUGACUGAGCCUUGUUCCCUAAAGAAGUGACCUUGUUCUUCCCAGAGCUUCCAUCUGGAGCAGCCGGGUUCAGGGCUGCGGCCACCCCUGCCCUGUGAGGUCUGCGUCAGACCAGGCCAUCCCAUGACUCUUCUGACCCCAGGAUGUUAGACUGGGAUCCUGAGGGGCCCAAAGGACUCACUGGCAGAGAGCAGCAUCAGCCCCACUUCGGCCAAAGGGAUCCCUGCUCCCCAUCCUCAUGGUUUUCUAAAGUCAUCUAGGCUCUGUUUGUGAAAAUGUGUUAUCCCUGAAUAGACUCAGUUUCCACUCACAGCCAGGUUCGCAAAUCAGGCAAGUCCCCUUGACUCCCUCUAUCCCUGCGAGUAGUCUGAUGUACUGGAUACUCCUUACCUCUGAGAAAGGAUAAUAUUCCUCUGCAAAAAACUGAAACGCCAGGUAAUGAUUCACCACCACUAGCCCUGUUGAGGGAAUGAAGAGUCAGUUCGUUUGGGGGGAUAACAGGAGGCUGGACUUUCAACCUUCACAAGGCCCCGAGUCUGAGUCCUGACUUUACUCCCCAUUCAGCGUAUAGCUUGGGGCCAGGCACACUCCUCUCCAGGACGAGGGGAAGGGAGGGAGGGGAGGGGAGGGAAGGAUUAGCCCCCAGCUGCCCACUGCAGAGGAUGUUUUUGAGUCUAAUUAGGAGUAGGUUAAGAAAUUCUUUCUUUGGUCUUUUUAGGGCCGUACCAGCAGCAUAUGGAGGAGGUUCCCAGGCCAGGGGUCGAAUCUGAGCUACAGCUGCCAGCCUACAUCACAGCCAUAGCAACGCAGAAUCCGAGCCACAUCUGUGACCUACACCACAGCUCACGGCAACGCCAGAUCCUUAACCCAAUGAGUGAGGCCUGAGAUUGAAUGGGCAUCCUCAAAGAUACUAGUCAGAUUCAUUUCCCCUGAGCCACAACAGGAACUCCUUAAAAAGCUCUUUGAAUGUCAUAGAAAUGAGACUACAUGCGAGUGCUACAGAGUCCAAAGCACAAGGCCAAGUGGCCGGGCCUGUGUGACCGUGAGCCCUGAAGAGCGUUCUCCAGGCAGUGGGGGAAGAAGUCACGGGCGUGCAGCGCGCCGGCUCCGAGGGCAACGGGGAGGAGGCCUCCACACACACGGAGGCUCUCACUCCUCGGGAAUAAAAGGGCUGCCCAGUUUGCUAGAUGCUCUAGGGUGUAGCCUUAGGGUUCCUCAAAGUUCUUGGGGAGACAGUCCUUCCUCAUCCUGCCCCAGAGUAAAGUUCACUGGUCUGAACUGGUAAGUUCUGGAUCCCCAUACACCUCCUGGGGACCCACUGCACAGAGAGGCUUCCCCUCACACCUAGGCCCCCUCAGAGACGCCUCCCAGCCAGCUGCCUCGUCUCCUUCGUCUUUGCUCCUCCUUGCCUCUCCCCUUCUAAGGCGGAGGCUGCUGCGGUGCCCAGCCACGCUCUGGACCAGAGCAUCCUGGAAGACAUCCUCAGGACAACUCUCUCAGGCAUCCAGAGGGCAGGUCAGGGAGGGACAAAGGGAAGCCAGGGGAGCCGGCUGCUAGAAGGGGUGGGGGCGGGGAGCGCCCUGCCCCACCGGGGGAAGACGCCAAAGGGGCCUGGUCUCCAGGGAAGGCCUCCUCCCACCAACCCCCGCUGAACAAAUCCUCUGGUGGAAUCACACCAAGGCACGAAGUCCUGGUAUUAACACCGUGCCAUCCUUGUGAAUAACGGUCUCUUUCCAGGUUCUCUCACAGAAAUAGAAAAGCAGCUCUAGGAAACCCCAAUUCCAUCUGACAGCCUGAUCAAAGGCUAAGAGGACCAGUAACGAUUAAUGGAAAAGAAGGCCAUCCUGGUAACUAGACACUGUCUAGAGCCAUUUCCAGGAAAAACUAUAAAUAUCUAUAAGCACCUAGGGUGCCAAAUGAGUCUCCGAAACAUCACAGACAGAGGGAGACGCGAAGGCUGGGAAGGGGAAAUGGCUCCCCGGGGUCAGAAACUGGUGGCAGAGCAAAGGCAGGAAGGUGGGGUCCUCCAAACACGCUUGUCAACCCCAAGGCAACUGUCUGCAGGGAGCCCCAAGCCCGUGAGGCUCCGUUUAUUCUCGACUUUGGGCCAGAGGAGGACUGGAUGGGCAGCUGCUUGCAGGCCAGGCAAGGGAUUUGGGCUCUUCCUGGCCAAGUGGUUUCUUAGGGGCUUACCGACAGCCAACCCACCUCUCUUUCCUUCUCAAAGCCUGGGAAAGCCCUCCCUCUGAGAAUCCCCAGCCCCCAAAUUCUAGUCUCUAGAGCCAGGAUGGGCUCUAGGGUCCGCACGUGUGAGAAGCCCAUUCUCCGGCCUCCUGGAGGACCUCAGUGGUUUGCCUCUUUUCCUCUCACGGCCCUCAGUGCUCUAGACUGAGCUGCGCACAUCCAACCACCUCAGCCGCCUCCCCAACCCUGUCCCCUCUCACCGCACGAUAGGAUGAAGUUAGGCGAGGUCAGCAUGAUGAAGGGGAAGGUCUGGAGGAGGCCAAAGUAGACAAGGUUGGUGAAGAGGCCCACGCCAAUCAUGCCGGUCGGGAAGUGCUCAAAAACGUAGAGGCCGAUCAGCACGGCUGUGGAGAACUGAACCAGAUCAUGUAUUUUAUGAUCCUGCUGGUGGCCACUGUGUAUUCUUCUAUCAGUUCUGCCAGGUAGUAGAGUCCAGCCGCUGGGGAAAAGGGCAAGCAGGGAGCACAUUAGCCAGGGUCACUCCCACCAUCCUGGUCACCCCUCUCUCUGCAGCUGGGUCCCCAUCAAUCUUUCAAGGACUCUACCAGGUAAGGAACAAACCAAACAACCCAUGUGCUACUCUCCCAGUCUGAACUAACACUUUGUCAGGGCCACUAAGAGAGAUUUUCUAAAAGUGAAUGGAAACCUGCAUUUGAUGCCUAGGCACAAACGGAAACUCUGGCCCACAAAGGGGAAUUUCAUUCACUCAUUCAAUAAACAUCUGUUGACACUUAGUAUGUGUCAGGUGCCAGGCUGAGGGGUGAGGGGGUUGNNNNNNNNNNNNNNNNNNNNNNNNNNNNNNNNNNNNNNNNNNNNNNNNNNNNNNNNNNNNNNNNNNNNNNNNNNNNNNNNNNNNNNNNNNNNNNNNNNNNNNNNNNNNNNNNNNNNNNNNNNNNNNNNNNNNNNNNNNNNNNNNNNNNNNNNNUCAAAGUGAGAAGAGGAAGCACGAAAGGCUCCCAGGCGAAAGGGUGGAGGUAAGCGUCAGGGGAAAGUUCGGUGCGGUCUGCCCCUGAGAGGGUGGACGCGUCAGCGGUUGGCGGUGCGCGGCCAAGGGGCACUUGAGUCAGCCUCUCCCGGGCACCGCUGGGGCGGACUUUGUGACUCCUGGAAGGACCCGCGGUCAGACUAGGAUGCUGGGAUCAGGAGGGGGGCAGGGCCAGGAGGGACAGGAGCGAAGGCUGGGAGGACCGGGCAGCGGUCUCCCGAGGCGCUCCGGUGCCCUCGCGAUGCGACCCCCGGCGAGCACAGAUGCCGGGGCGGAAG